rnacentral:rRNA from 1 species
UACGUAGGGUGCGAGCGUUAAUGGGAAUUACUGGGCGUAAAGCGUGCGCAGGCGGUUUUGUAAGCCAGAUGUGAAAUCCCCGGGCUCAACCUGGGAAUGGCAUUUGGGACUGCAAGGCUGGAGUGUGGCAGAGGAGACUGGAAUUCCUGGUGUAGCAGUGAAAUGCGUAGAUAUCAGGAGGAAUACCGAUGGCGAAGGCAGGUCUCUGGGCUGACACUGACGCUCAUGCACGAAAGCGUGGGGAGCAAACAGG